CUUGAAAGCUGAAAAACAAUUCAUAAGAACUAAUAAAUUAAAGAAAUCAAGAGAAUGGCAAAAAUACAUAAAAAUCUUAAUGUAGGUCUACAGUCAUAUGUAUCCAUUCAUCCUUUUAGCAUGUACUGAAUCCCCACCGUGGGCUAUGCAUUCUACUCAUCACAGGUCAAAGGGCAACGAAUAAUACAAUCUCUGCCUUCAAGGAAUUCAUAGUCAAAUGGCUAAACAGAUAAUAAACAUACAAUUACAAUACAGGGUGAUAAAGUGAUAGUUUUUGGUACAGAAUGCUGGAGAAGGGUCUCAAAGGGACGCUUACUCAUGAGGUGGGUGGGACGGUGUUGUAAGACCUCCUGAAUGUGAUGAUGUCCAAAUGCAGGACAGCUUUAUGAGGGUAGGGUGCUAUGGAGCGUAUACUUCUCUAGAUAUUUAUAAGUGCUUGUAUUUGUAUGAAAUAAAAGCAAGAAGCCAUGCUAACAACAAAGUGACACCAAAUAUUGCCGUGGCUGACACCAGAGCCUCAACCCUUGGCUCUGUUUCAGGAGCUCCAGUAAUCAAAAGAUAAGUAUGCUGAAUGAGGCUUUGGGGAGGUCUGAGGAGGAAGGAAGACAACAUUCUCAAGUUUGCAAGUGACCCAAACUGCCUGAGAAAUUUGGGGAGCACCAUGAAGUAUGAUCAGCACAGCCUAAAAGAUGUACAAAUAUUUGAAUAAUGGUUCAGCAGUCUUCCCUUUGAGGAGCCGAGAGCACUUGUGCCAGAAAAGACUCUGCUUUUACAGAUGGCCAGCCUGAGGCUAGGAUAGCCAUUUCCCCAAAUAGGGAGCAGACCAGGACUUGCAGAAACAAAACAGAUCACGCCAUUGCUGGCUUGUCUCUUUGUUCUGGUGUCGAGAUCAGGCCCCUCCCUCCACCACUGAAGAGACGGAGAGGAAAGCUAAAAAUGGCUCUGUUCAGGGGGUCACAGAAUUUGGAGUCAGCUUUGUGCCUCGGGCCGUGGUCGCGCGCCCACUGUGUUCCUCGGGAGACGCCACACGCGGUUGCAGGCGGGCGCGGGCGGGGCGCUCAGCAUGGCAAGUCUGCACGUGUAUCCAAGUUGCCGCGACUCAGCGAUGAUUUUCUGGCAGACGCUGCUACAGCAUGGCUUGAUGAGUGGUAUGCAGUUCUGUGCCCAGGAUCCAAACCCAGGAACACCAGGCCACCGAAGUGGAGUGUGCAAACUUAACCACUAUGCCACCAGGCCGGCCCCCAUGAAGAACUCUUUAACACACCUUUGGGCAUUCUUGUUGGGCUUUCUCUAUCUCUCAAAGACCUAAGGUCCAGAGUAUAUUUUGGGAAGGCUUGCUUUAUACUCAGAGAGAAUUGCUUCCUCCUACUUUAAAAACAGAAAGGAAGAUAAAGAUCUCAUUUCCAUAACACAAUGUAUAAAGACAACCUGAUUCAGCUGAUGACUGCCAAG
rnacentral:lncRNA from 1 species